rnacentral:rRNA from 1 species
GACGAACGCUGGCGGCGUGCUUAACACAUGCAAGUCGAACGGAAAGGUCCUGCUUUGGUGGGGUGCUCUACUUGCGAACGGGUGAGUAACACGUGAGUACCCUGUCACUGACUUUGGGAUAACCUCAGAAAACUGGAUCUAAUACCGGCUAGGAGCUCCUGCCUCAUGGUGGGGGCUGGAAAGUUUAGGCGAUUGGGAAUGGACUCGCGCCUCAUCAGCUUGUUGGUGUGGUAGUGUCUGACCAAGGCUAUGACCGGUAGCCGGGCUGGGCGGGUGACCGGCCACACUGGGCUUGGACUACGGCCCGGACUACUACGCGACGCAGCGGUGGGGUAUAUUGCACUAGAGGCGGAGGCCUAGUGCAGCAACGCCGCGUGGGGGAUGUCGGCCUGCGGUUUGUAUUCCGCUUCCGCCUGUCACGAGGCGUGAGUGACGGUAACGGGUGAAGAAGCACCGGCUAACUACGUG